rnacentral:rRNA from 1 species
CUCGAAAGCAUCGCGUUGGACUUGAUGUAUCCUACAUUGGCUUGAAAGACCCUUUAAAACC